AAGGAAAAGAACAGCCACCCUCGUCUUGUUCACGACCCAACGCGCCGCCGCCAAGGGAACCCCUCGCGUUGCGAUGUCGUCAACGGAGAUGCGAUUCUGCCGGGGAUCAGGGGAAACAGUGGAUUCGUUUCACGCCUCCCGCUACCCCAGCCCUUCCACGGAGGAUCCGGCUUGCCUGCUCCCUCGCCGUGCUCCCACUCCAUCCUACGCUUCCACGGAGGACCUAGGGGAUCUCCAUGAUUCGCUGGAGGAGGUGGAUGUAGUCGAACUCGACCCCCAUGACCAGCCGGCGCGCAUGGUCGCAGAUCCUGGUCAGAUUGCCUGGCAUGCCCUGGACCUCAAGUUCCCACGCGAGGAGAGCGAAUCAGACUGGAGCGACUGGAAAGAGGGCGAUGGCCGACUGAUUGACGGGGAGGAGAAAGAUUGCCCAGUUACCUAUUUAUACAUCUAGAUUCAAUUUCCCCGAAAUUUCAACUAUGUUUAAGUUAACCCCCCGGAAUUCUACACUAAUUCUUCAGGGAAUGAAGUAGUCGAUAGCGAUGAUGAUGAUGAUGACGACGACGACGACAACUGCAAUGUUCAAGUCGUUUACGAGGACAAAAGCCCAAACACGAAGAUAAUCUGCCCAGGAAAGCUCUAUCCUGAGAGCGAAGCAGAGGAAAUUGAGCUGGAAUGGAUUGAGAGCUACUGCAAGCAGAUGGGAGAAUACUCGAAACUGUUUGAUGACAUUCUGGCCCGGGAGGACCACGACGAUUUUACUACUUUGCCUCCUUUUCCUAUGAAACUGCUCUCUCCCACAACAUCUCUAUGCUUCAUGGAUGGCGGGUACUGCUACCACAGUCUUUACAAGACCCAUGAUACUUCUACCAGCAACUGCAUCAACUCUUGGAUAUCGCACACCGCAACAGAUGCUACAGUUCUUUUCGAUGCGUUUAUCAAGCUCUGGGCUCUCCUAUCCCAUUAGUGUGUAUGGAAUACUUGCUGUUUGCGACGACUUGGACCAGCGACGGAAUUAUCUCUUUAACUGUCCUAGAGAUACUGCUGUAGAGAUUGUGAAUCAGGAAUCCUUUGACUUGCCUCUUUGUAGCCCGUGUCGAGGAAUAUAUGUACUGGACGAGGCACUACUGAUCUCUGGGUAAAGAAGGAAGGGAAUGGAUCAGCUGACAAGCAUAUACUUUCUGCAUAUGCUGAGAUUGAAGUCCGUGCAAAUUUUGAUAUUAUGCUGGGUGGUCGGAUUCCUGGUGUUGAUUGCAACUUGGACCUGACAUACAUGAUCAUUGCACGAAGUAUUGAGGCGGUAGUACAAGUCUAUGCAGAGGUUGACCAUCCUCAUCACGUGAAGUUCACUGCUUUAAGCACUGGCUAUGACGAUGAGAUUGUGCUGUUUGAUGACAAGAUAUCUGGGAGUGUGAAACUGUUCCAACAUAUUGUCGCGGUUAAGAGAAAUGAAAAUUUGGAUGUUCUUCUAAGAGUCGAUGAAUCGCUGUUUCAGUGGACUUUUCAUGAUGAGUAUGUUGGACCCGUCAGUUCUCCCGAUGAUUCAAUCCUUCAGUAUGGCCAGUUUUUUGUGAGGGUGCUUUUUGCUCCAAAGAACUCUGCAUGAAGCCCACCGCCGGCCUCCUGCAAACUGCGAUUAAGUGAAGACUCAGUUCUUCAGCUUAGCCAGUUUCUUGUGAGGCUGCUCCAAAGAACUCCACAUGAAGACCAUCGCCGGCAUCCUGACAAACUGCGGUUUAAGUGAAGGGCUGAAGGUGUCCUGUGCCUUCUACUUAGUAUAGCAUUAUAGUCCAGUGUGUUAAGCUGAACCGCUGUAAACCUCAACAUGCUCAAUGCGUGCAUAUUCUCUGCCUGCCUGCUAUUGUGUUUUUGACUUGUAUCAUCCAGUGGUCGUGAUGCUGUCGUUGAAACCUUGGCAUGCACAAUUUGCCAAUUUGGUCAGCACAAAGUGCGUUUUGAUGUUGGUAUGAGACAGGCAAAGUGAAGGCUGAAGGUGUCCUAUGCUGUUC